rnacentral:lncRNA from 1 species
GCUUUAUCAGAUAGAGUGCAUUACUAGCCAAUAAUAUUAAGUUGUAUGUAGUCUCUUACUUGUAGUAGUUUGAAAGCAGGUGGAACUUGAAGGUAAUUGAGAUUAAGUGAAUUUAAGAUAAAAUAGGUUUAUAUAAUCAGCUACUGCCAUGCAUAUUUUAUAAAGAGUUUCAAAGUGAAAAAUUUUCAUAUGGUGAAAUAAAUUUUUCAUUGUAUCUGAUGUAAGAAAUAUGGUUUUAAGUGUAUUACCUUAAUAAUUAUUCCUAAACAAAACUAGAGUGCAAAAUAAUCAUGGACUAUAUCUGUUAGGUCAACCAAAUGAGAAUAAUAAUUCCUAGAUUUCAUCUUGGCCUUUUGGGUUUCUGGGGCAUUUUAGGUCUUUGAUGUAAAGUGGACUUAACCAUUGCACUUUUCUAAGAAGUUUCUUCCUCUCUUCUGGUAGGUGUCUGACGAUUUGUGAACCCCAGAUAACUAUUCUGUGGAGCCAUCUUUCCUUGCCUUUGAAUUAGCUUUCCCUAGGCCAAGAAUCAACAUCAAUAUUUUAUACAGCCAAAUUGAGUGUGCUCUAGUGAGGUCUGCCAAGUGUACUGAUGAAAAUCACCCAAAUGUAUACAUGAGACAAAGAGAUGAUGUAAUAAUGGAAAUGCUCUUCCUACUUUGGAAGAAAAGAAGCUCAACUUGUAUGUUCUCUCUAGUUCAUUCCCUUCCAUUCACUUUUGUGACAUAUUUUAAAAUCAAUGUAACAAAGUAAUUCUGAAAGUAAAUUGCUGACAAAUAAUAUGACUGUGUUGUUAAAAAUGAUUUUAAAAAUGAUACCUAUCUUAUCUC